UAUGGUAAUUGCUAUUGACCCUGAUGCACAGGGAAAAACGCAUCUGGACAGACAGAAAACGCACGGGAGGGCUCUCCUCGAUGCGCACGGACAGAGCCGCCGCCGCCGCCGCCACACGCGGCCGCGCGGCCGCUCUUCCUCUCCGACUCCGGCCAUCCGCAACCCUCUUCUCCUUCGCCUUGCUGCGUCCAGCGUAGGUCCCCGCCGCCGGCCCAAAACGGUGUCCUGGCCGCCGGCUCCUCUCGGAGACUCGGACACAUUGGAGCGACGUCUCACGCGCGAUGUCAGUGGACAAGACGGCCACCAUCAGCGUGGGGAGCAAUGGAUGUGGAAUAUCUGCUGUGGUGGUUCUCAUCUGGCCUUAGUUCCAGGUGCCUUGCACGAUGGUUGGUCUACAUUGAUGGAAAUGACUAUUUGAGCAGGGUGCUGUGCUGAGGAAACAACAAGACAUGGAAAACGCUUAUAAUCACCUGACAGAUUACAGCUCCCGCGUCCGCCACUUCCCCUGCACUCCACGUGCCCCAUGGGCUGGGGCUGCAUCUUAGUUUUGAUCAUAUAUGAACUUACAAGUUACAACCGUAAAGGUUGAACAACAUCGGUUCUUUUUUGAUGGAUUGAACAACAUCAACAAGAAGUUUCUUCCUCAGUUCCUCUUGUUUGGGAUGAUACAGAUGAGAUAGCCCAUCAGUUGGUCACAGGAGGAAACGACCACAAUGAG